UCUACGAUCAAUGCUAGGUUAAAGAUGAUCACAGCUAAUGUUAUGCUAUAAUCUGAAUAGACUGUGGAAAUGUGAUUCAUCAUGCUCUGCAGGGACCUGUAGCAGUAACACUUUGGAUGAAAUGUGAGACUGAACAACCAGACUGAAUAGCAGCGCAAAACCAAAGAGGGGCUCAUCAGUCAAGCUCCCUGUGGAUUGUCCGCUCCAUUUCAAACACAUCAUGACCUGAACUCACCCGCAGCCACUCAGGGCACAAAGCUCACCUAUGGCAGGUGGGAUAGGAGAUGGAUUUGGAGAUGCAAAGAUUUUACUGUAUCAGAACAUGUCCAGAACAUGGAUUUGAGUGGCUGCAUUUUACAUCUAUAACAGCAAACUGGACUGGACUCAUAACUCAGACGCCCUCUACAGGAAAGGGCAGAGCAGACUGUACCUGCUGCGGAGACUCAGGUCAUUUGGAAUGGAGGGCCCACUCCUGAAGACCUUCUAUGACUCUGUGGUGGCCUCAGCCAUCUUUUAUGGUGUGGUCUGCUGGGGCGGCAGCAUCUCUGCUGGGGACAGGAAGAGACUGAACAGGCUUAUCCGAAGGGCCAGCUCUGUUCUAGGAUGCCCUCUGGACCCAGUGGAGGUGGUGAGUGACAGGAGAAUGGUGGCUAAGCUGUCAUCCCUGUUGGACAACAUCUCCCACCCCAUGCAUGAGACUGUGACAGCACUGAGCAGCUCCUUCAGUGGGAGACUGCGGCACCCACGGUGUGGGACGGAGAGAUUUCGCAGGUCUUUCCUCCCCACCGCUGUCAGACUCCACAACAAAGACUUUAACUGAUCAAACACACACAUCCACACAUGUGCAAUAACACUAAGUGCAAUAAUCUUUUCUGGCAUCGUUGUAUUUUUACUCAGUUGUA